rnacentral:rRNA from 1 species
UACGUAGGGUGCAAGCGUUUGUCCGGAAUUAUUGGGCGUAAAGAGCUCGUAGGCGGUCUGUCGCGUCGGCUGUGAAAACUCGGGGCUCAACCCCGAGCCUGCAGUCGAUACGGGCAGACUAGAGUGCUGUAGGGGGAGACUGGAAUUCCUGGUGUAGCGGUGGAAUGCGCAGAUAUCAGGAGGAACACCGGUGGCGAAGGCGGGUCUCUGGGCAGUAACUGACGCUGAGGAGCGAAAGCGUGGGGAGCGAACAGG